UGUCGCCAGAUUUUGCCAGCCACGCCCCCUAUAUGUAAGAGCGCAGACUGGGCUUGCUACGAUGUGAGAGAGAGUAAGUUCAUUCCAUAGUCAAGCGGCCAGAAACAGUUAUGCCACUGCUUGAUUAUAUCAGGGGCUACAGAGACUUCUGGAUAAGGAUGUUCUGUUUCUGGUGUUGUAGGAGGCCUGAUUAUGUUCCAUUUCGCCAACGGACUCCGCAAAAAGCUCCCGAGUCAUACGACGAAAUGUAGCGUCGGAUGAUACAUCUGGACGAAGAAAAAAUAUGCCAAUGAGCUGAUUCGGCGCACAAAGGAAUGUCGAGUCUUCACGUUUGUUGUAAUUACAUAUUCUAAAACUUGGCAUCCAUUAUUUUAUAAUUAUUUCAAUGGUCACAAAGAAAAUGUAUUUUCUCGUUGAAAAUACUCCAGAACUAAAAUUCAGUAACGCAGGUGGUGACCUUUAAAUCAGCAUGAUAAACGAAUUACUCUUGUAAUUUUGCGCAUAUUUAAAUGUUUUUACAUAAAGUAUAAAUACGUAGUGACAGGUCUAAGAAUAAUUCAGAUGUUUAUGAAGAGAUGUUACUGGUAUCAAAACUGAUGCUUGUAUCCAUAAUUUUAGUUCAAAUACUUAAAAAUGUUCUCUAUGAAGCAUUGUUUGAAUAAAAUUUUAAAAUUCUAAUUUUAUAGCAUGUUAAUACAAUUUGUGAAAUAUAUUACAUAUCAA